rnacentral:rRNA from 1 species
UACGGAGGGUGCAAGCGUUAUCCGGAUUCACUGGGUUUAAAGGGUGUGUAGGCGGGCUGUUAAGUCAGUGGUGAAAUCUCCGGGCUCAACCCGGAAACUGCCAUUGAUACUAUCAGUCUUGAAUAUUGUUGAGGUGGGCGGAAUAUGUCAUGUAGCGGUGAAAUGCAUAGAGAUGACAUAGAACACCGAUUGCGAAGGCAGCUCACUAAACAUGUAUUGACGCUGAGGCACGAAAGCGUGGGGAUCAAACAGG